GGGGACGAAAGGAUUUCGACGGGUAUUCUGAGGUUCUGGCAGCGAGCAGCGGCGCGGACCCGCUAUAAAAGCCGCAGUUUAGUAAUAAACGACAACGAUUAUCAACUAGCCGCUGCCUAACUAAGGCAGCCGUCUUCCCCGGGAGCACUGCGGCCCGGAUGAAGGCGUCGAUGAGCAGUGAACGUGAACGGGAAGCCGCCCUGCGCCCCGUCAUGAUUUAGGGGGAUACCGUAGCGCGGAGCCUGUCUGUCGGCGCCGCGUGAAGGGAAUUUAAAACGACAGACUACGCUCGUAGACAUCGGUGCUAAGGGGUGUUCGGACGCGGUUUCGAUUACCGCCGUCUCCACCA
rnacentral:tmRNA from 1 species